AUGCAAAUGGUCUCGUGUGGGCACACCACUGUCAACAUCAAUGGGGAGAUCGGUCCCUACUUCCCCACUUUCUGUGGGGUGAGGCAGGGCGACCCAUUCUCCCUAUUCCUGUUUAAUAUGGUGGUCGAUGCUCUUGCGGCCAUUCUGGAUAAGGCCAAGGCCGCGGGCCAUAUUAGGGGUAUCACCCCCUAA
rnacentral:rRNA from 1 species